AUUCACAUGUGUUUGAUGUGGUCUCUCUCUCUUUCUCUCUCUCUGUGUCUUCCUCUCUCAUUUUCUGUCUCUUACUCUUGUCAGUUAUUUCAAAUGUGUAUUAGUAGUACCUCUGUUCCUUCCUGGCUUCUAUUUCUGGAACAUUUUGGUCCUGAAAUUCUAAAAAAGUGUCUGGUUCAAACAUAGUUAAUUAGAGGAUUUUAUGGCUCUCAUGAUACCCUGCUGUACACCAUAGGAGCCAAAACCAUGGACAAAUUAUUCUUCUGAAUUUAAAUGCCAAAAUUUAACUUCAAAGACAUUAUGAAUUAUUGAAAAGACUUCAAAAAGCUUUUCUUGUGAUUUCUAAUAAUUCAAGGUAGUGCUGAAUAUUUUCAACUCGGAUUAUUUGCCAUCACAUUUGAAACUUUUCUGGGUAAACAGAGUACCUAUAAGUGGAAUUUCAAGAUAUUAUGGGUUGGAGUGAAGUGAUUGAUGCUGUGAGGUGUAUGGACUAAAGUCUGCAAUACCAGUUCUGCCUUGUGAAUUAUAAAUCUUCAAUACAGGAAUAGCAAGUUUCUUCUGAAAAAUUUUCAGUAAUUGUCCCUUUGUUGUGGGCGAGGUUGGGCCUAAAUGAAUUUUCCAGACUCUUCCUGUUUACUUAGAGAAGAAUUCCAAGUACAGGCGCAAACGCAGAGUGCAGUGUGAUAAACAGAAUAAUACACAGGCACAUGAAGGCUUUGCUUAGGGAGAGUGGCCAGGGGAGGCAAAGGAGAAUUUUGCUACCCUGCUCUGCUAGUCCUUGGUCCAUAGGAAGGACAACAUGAGCUUUCAUUCUACCUGGCUUUUUAUGAGCGUAGACACACGGAAAGUGUUAACACAGUACCACCCCUCCUUCUGCUUAAGAGAAGGUACUUCCUGGGAAGGGGUCCCCAGAUUGGCAGGGAGGUGAGCACUGCAAAACAGAGUGAGGGAGGUGAGGCUUUCAGCUCAUGAACUUAAGAUUAUUU